AAAUAUUGCUUGUUAGAAUAAUUAACUAAAAGUAUAUCCAUUUGGAAAGUAGAAGAGCUUUCUCAGAUUGCUAAAUUUUUAAAUUUUGUUUUCUGUUUGAAAAGUAUAUUAAGAGUUCAAAUAUUUUUCCCACAUAGUACAGUUAGAAAUAACCACUAUUUCUGGUUUUGUGGGAAAUGACAUGAGCUGGAGAGGGCAAGAACAUAGCUGAGACCUCCCAGCACAGCCCACGCUGGGCAUGGAGAAGACCCCCUCUGCAUAACCAGCAUAGCAGUAUUACUCUGAGACCUUGCACAUCUGACUUUUGUUUUAAUUUUCUUAACUUGUUUGUUUCUCUUCAGAAAUAAGUGUUUUUAACAGUGUAUGUGCUUUUAAAACACAUUGUGGAUGAGAACCCUGUGGAUUUUUUAUUACCUUGUCUGUUUGUCAUAAAUAAGCUAAAGUAGACUAAGUGGUAGGCUAACCAUAUUGCUGAAGAUGGGCAGCUGGAAGUCAGAGCCUGACAGCACAGUUUUGCCAAAGAGAGAGCUCAAGUGGAAGACGUGUUUGAUAUUUUCAGCGCUAAACACAAGGCUGCUUGUGCAGAGUGAGAACAGUGUUCAGAUUUGGUGACUAGACCACACAUAGAUUUGUGGCCUCUGACUGAUGGAAACUCUGAACUGUGCAGCGGAAGUCACCAUUGUUUUCUUGUCUUCAGAUUUGUCCAUUCAAAAGCUUGCUCAUGGCUUUUUAAGGCUACUUUAGCAUUUGAAGCAAAGAGAAUUCCAGUGGGAGAAGUGAAUUAAAAUAGUGUGGGUGAAUUUUUGAUCUUAUAAUUCACCAAAUGAGACCUAAUAAUAAUGCAGGCAAAAAUAAAUACUACAAUAUUAAAUAUUUAGGCAUCGUGUUAGUGAGAAGAUGAAAUUUUUCUCCUCUUACUAGGCCUACCCUUAAUAAAUUUGUAAACUAGCACCUCACAAGCUUGAAAUUUUCACCAAUAUUAAGCCCAUUUUUUUCUCUCUGAGUCAAGAAAAACUCAUUGGAAAUUCCAUUAUAAUUUAAAUUUAAGCUAGUUUUUGAUAAGCAUAAUGAUUGGUAUAUUAUCCAGCCUGGUGCAGCAGUAUAAUACCAACCAAAAUACAAUUUGAGGCACAUCUCAUUUAACUGUUUGAACAUGGAAGCUUAUUUUUCAUGCAAAAGUAACCUCUAACGGUUUUUAAAAUGCAGCUAUAAAAAUCACUGUAUGAUGACCUUGAGGAGCUCUGAUUUUGGUCUCAUGCCCCCUCUGUGUGUGAGUUCUACUUAUUUUUUUCAGAGACAUUAUUUUUAAUACAACCUCCAAACUAUAAAAAUUAAAAGAACCAAUCAAACACACCUUCCUAUUACAUUUUCUUCACUGUGUAAAUAUUAUUUGUGUAAACAUUACGAAAAGGGAUCCAAAC
rnacentral:lncRNA from 1 species